rnacentral:rRNA from 1 species
GUCUACGGCCAUGCCACCCUGAAUAAGCCUGAUCCCGUCUGAUCUUGGAAGCUAAGCUAGGCCUGGUUAGUACUUGGAUGGGAGACCACCUAGGAAGACCAGGUGCUGUAGGUG